rnacentral:rRNA from 1 species
AACGAACGCUGGCGGCAUGCCUAACACAUGCAAGUCGAACGAGACCUUCGGGUCUAGUGGCGCACGGGUGCGUAACGCGUGGGAACCUGCCCUUAGGUUCGGAAUAACUCCCCGAAAGGGGUGCUAAUACCGGAUAAUGUCUUCGGACCAAAGCUUUAUCGCCUUUGGAUGGGCCCGCGUUGGAUUAGCUAGUUGGUAGGGUAAAAGCCUACCAAGGCGACGAUCCAUAGCUGGUCUGAGAGGAUGAUCAGCCACACUGGGACUGAGACACGGCCCAGACUCCUACGGGAGGCAGCAGUGGGGAAUAUUGGGCUAUGGGCGGAAGCAUGAUCGAGCAGUGCCGCGUGAGUGAUGAAGGCCUUAGGGUUGUAAAGCUCUUUUACCCGGGAUGAUAGUGACAGUACCGGGAGAAUAAGCUCCGGCUAACUCCGUG